rnacentral:rRNA from 1 species
UACGUAGGUGGCAAGCGUUGUCCGGAAUUAUUGGGCGUAAAGCGCGCGCAGGCGGUUCGAUAAGUCUGAUGUGAAAGCCCACGGCUCAACCGUGGAGGGUCAUUGGAAACUGUCGAACUUGAGUGCAGAAGAGAAGAGUGGAAUUCCACGUGUAGCGGUGAAAUGCGUAGAGAUGUGGAGGAACACCAGUGGCGAAGGCGACUCUUUGGUCUGUAACUGACGCUGAGGCGCGAAAGCGUGGGGAGCAAACAGG